CACGGGAUGAGACCGCUUAUAUAGUGCAUGCAGUGAUGUGCAUACUGCUUUAUAUGCUCAUUAACCUAUACCUGGUUAUGCUCUACAAGCAUGACAACCACAGCUAUGAAGUACGCACUGCUGAUGCUAUUAUGGGUGACUGUAUCCUUGGCGUCACAAGAUGCAACUACGUGCACAAAGACCACCAUUGAAGUUGGCAACGGUAAAUGUGAAACAAGUGCAUUAUCUCAUCGCCCGGGUCAUGUCACGCACCUCAGUUGCCCAUGUGCAAAUAUGAUCUGUGAUGACAAAAGGAAGCGAGUAAUUGUAACAUGGUGCUGACAAUCCACAGAUUAUAACAAACCGAGAAAAAGCAAAAUCGCUCGUUAUAUGUCUGCUCGAUGCUUUUCUAAGUGACAUGUGUCGGAUGUAUUCGGCUUGCUAUUUUGUAUGACUGUCUAUAACGCAUUGAGUGUAUUUUGGAAGAAUUGUAACCCCUGCAUGUACUUUAUAAUGUAGUUCAAACUGAAGUAUAGAUAAAAAUAAAGAUUUCGCUCUUUCGCUUAA